rnacentral:rRNA from 1 species
GGGACACGUGGUAUCCUGUCUGAAUAUGGGGGGACCAUCCUCCAAGGCUAAAUACUCCUGACUGACCGAUAGUGAACCAGUACCGUGAGGGAAAGGCGAAAAGAACCCCGGCGAGGGGAGUGAAAAAGAACCUGAAACCGUGUACGUACAAGCAGUGGGAGCCUCUUAAUGGGGUGACUGCGUACCUUUUGUAUAAUGGGUCAGCGACUUAUAUUCUGUAGCAAGGUUAACCGAAUAGGGGAGCCGAAGGGAAACCGAGUCUUAACUGGGCGUUAAGUUGCAGGGUAUAGACCCGAAACCCGGUGAUCUAGCCAUGGGCAGGUUGAAGGUUGGGUAACACUAACUGGAGGACCGAACCGACUAAUGUUGAAAAAUUAGCGGAUGACUUGUGGCUGGGGGUGAAAGGCCAAUCAAACCGGGAGAUAGCUGGUUCUCCCCGAAAGCUAUUUAGGUAGCGCCUCGUGAAUUCAUCUCCGGGGGUAGAGCACUGUUUCGGCAAGGGGGUCAUCCCGACUUACCAACCCGAUGCAAACUGCGAAUACCGGAGAAUGUUAUCACGGGAGACACACGGCGGGUGCUAACGUCCGUCGUGAAGAGGGAAACAACCCAGACCGCCAGCUAAGGUCCCAAAGUCAUGGUUAAGUGGGAAACGAUGUGGGAAGGCCCAGACAGCCAGGAUGUUGGCUUAGAAGCAGCCAUCAUUUAAAGAAAGCGUAAUAGCUCACUGGUCGAGUCGGCCUGCGCGGAAGAUGUAACGGGGCUAAACCAUGCACCGAAGCUGCGGCAGCGACACUAUGUGUUGUUGGGUAGGGGAGCGUUCUGUAAGCCUGUGAAGGUGGCCUGUGAGGGUUGCUGGAGGUAUCAGAAGUGCGAAUGCUGACAUAAGUAACGAUAAAGCGGGUGAAAAGCCCGCUCGCCGGAAGACCAAGGGUUCCUGUCCAACGUUAAUCGGGGCAGGGUGAGUCGACCCCUAAGGCGAGGCCGAAAGGCGUAGUCGAUGGGAAACAGGUUAAUAUUCCUGUACUUGGUGUUACUGCGAAGGGGGGACGGAGAAGGCUAUGUUGGCCGGGCGACGGUUGUCCCGGUUUAAGCGUGUAGGCUGGUUU